AGGAUCCUAACCUGACAACCAAGGUAUUGUUUUAUUUUAUUGCUGCAAUACCCGUUUCUCGCCUCUAGUGGCCUCCCUAACCACUAGUCAAUCCUCAGUUUCUCUCACCUGCCUCAUAUGAUCUUCCAAGUCUGCUAUAAAAGACCACACCUAACUCUUCACAUGGCCUUUACAAUGAAGUCAGUGUUCUGACAUGGAACUUCUG